rnacentral:rRNA from 1 species
GACGAACCGUGCGAACGUUGUUCGGAAUCACUGGGCUUAAAGGGCGCGUAGGCGGGCUGCCAAGUCCGGGGUGAAAUCUUUCGGCUCAACCGGGAAAGUGCCUUGGAUACUGGUGGUCUUGAGGGAGGUAGGGGUAUGUGGAACUUCCGGUGGAGCGGUGAAAUGCGUUGAUAUCGGAAGGAACGCCGGUGGCGAAAGCGACGUACUGGACCUCUUCUGACGCUGAGGCGCGAAAGCUAGGGGAGCGAACGGG